UGGGGGCUUUGCCAAAGGGUUCACUGAUUGGU
rnacentral:piRNA from 1 species